UACGUAGGGUGCAAGCGUUGUCCGGAAUUAUUGGGCGUAAAGAGCUCGUAGGCGGUUUGUCGCGUCGAAUGUGAAAUCCCGGGGCUCAACCCCGGGCCUGCAUUCGAUACGGGCAGACUAGAGUUCGGUAGGGGAGACUGGAAUUCCUGGUGUAGCGGUGGAAUGCGCAGAUAUCAGGAGGAACACCGAUGGCGAAGGCAGGUCUCUGGGCCGCAACUGACGCUGAGGAGCGAAAGCAUGGGGAGCGAACAGG
rnacentral:rRNA from 1 species